rnacentral:rRNA from 1 species
AUUGAACGCUGGCGGCAGGCCUAACACAUGCAAGUCGAGCGGAUGAAGGGAGCUUGCUCCUGGAUUCAGCGGCGGACGGGUGAGUAAUGCCUAGGAAUCUGCCUGGUAGUGGGGGAUAACGUCCGGAAACGGGCGCUAAUACCGCAUACGUCCUGAGGGAGAAAGUGGGGGAUCUUCGGACCUCACGCUAUCAGAUGAGCCUAGGUCGGAUUAGCUAGUUGGUGGGGUAAAGGCCUACCAAGGCGACGAUCCGUAACUGGUCUGAGAGGAUGAUCAGUCACACUGGAACUGAGACACGGUCCAGACUCCUACGGGAGGCAGCAGUGGGGAAUAUUGGACAAUGAGCGAAAGCCUGAUCCAGCCAUGCCGCGUGUGUGAAGAAGGUCUUCGGAUUGUAAAGCACUUUAAGUUGGGAGGAAGGGCAGUAAGUUAAUAACUUGCUGUUUUGACGUUACCAACAGAAUAAGCACCGGCUAACUUCGUG